rnacentral:rRNA from 1 species
UACGUAGGGUGCGAGCGUUGUCCGGAAUUAUUGGGCGUAAAGAGCUUGUAGGCGGUUUGUCGCGUCUGCUGUGAAAAUCCGGGGCUCAACCCCGGACUUGCAGUGGGUACGGGCAGACUAGAGUGCGGUAGGGGAGACUGGAAUUCCUGGUGUAGCGGUGAAAUGCGCAGAUAUCAGGAGGAACACCGGUGGCGAAGGCGGGGUCUCUGGGCCGUAACUGACGCUGGAGGAGCGAAAGCCGUGGGGAGCGAACAGG